CCUGACCCUAUAGUGAUACUUUAAACUAAGUCCUACUAGUCUCCUAAAAGCAAAGAAAAUCCCAUACCCUCAUACUCCCCUAAAAAGAAUAAAUAGAAAAAAACUAACUUAAAUCAUAAUGCUGGCUACAAAUAAACAAAAGUCAAAUAUAGAGGGUAAAAGUUAGUAACUCCCAAUGUGCGUUUUGGCGCUAAAAAUAGUGGGCCUUCAUCUGGGGCUAGCGUUGGGUAGACUCCCACAGCCUGCUUUAUGAAGAAAAGGCGCCAGACAGUUAAGGACAGCCCCUAAUUACUCCCAACCAAUCUAGUGUAAGCAGAGGUGGGACCACUCCCCCAGCAUCAAUGCCGGCAGGCGGGCCCACGUCGCAACAGCUCGCCCAUCCAUAGGUAGGGCCGUCAGUCCCUAGGAAUGGCCACUGAAUUAACACUCGCCAGUCUCUGGUCCAAGGAUCACUCAUCAGCCAAUUGUGACGAUGGGAAAAAAC